rnacentral:rRNA from 1 species
GCAGUAGGAUAGGCGAAGCGUGCGAUUGGAUUGCACGUCUAAGCAGUAAGGCUGAGUAUUAGGCAAAUCCGGUACUCGUUAAGGCUGAGCUGUGAUGGGGAGAAGACAUUGUGUCUUCGAGUCGUUGAUUUCACACUGCCGAGAAAAGCCUCUAGAUAGAAAAUAGGUGCCCGUACCGCAAACCGACACAGGUAGUCAAGAUGAGAAUUCUAAGGUGAGCGAGCGAACUCUCGUUAAGGAACUCGGCAAAAUGACCCCGUAACUUCGGGAGAAGGGGUGCUCUUUAGGGUUAACGCCCAGAAGAGCCGCAGUGAAUAGGCCCAAGCGACUGUUUAUCAAAAACACAGGUCUCUGCUAAACCGUAAGGUGAUGUAUAGGGGCUGACGCCUGCCCGGUGCUGGAAGGUUAAGAGGAGUGGUUAGCUUCUGCGAAGCUACGAAUCGAAGCCCCAGUAAACGGCGGCCGUAACUAUAACGGUCCUAAGGUAGCGAAAUUCCUUGUCGGGUAAGUUCCGACCCGCACGAAAGGCGUAACGAUUUGGGCACUGUCUCAACGAGAGACUCGGUGAAAUCAUAGUACCUGUGAAGAUGCAGGUUACCCGCGACAGGACGGAAAGACCCCGUGGAGCUUUACUGUAGCCUGAUAUUGAAAUUCGGCACAGCUUGUAC